GGGGCUGUAGCUCAGCAGUAGAGCCUCUGCUUUGCAUGCAGAGAGUCUCAGGUUCAAUCCUUAGCAUUUCCA